CCUACGGGAGGCAGCAGUGAGGAAUAUUGCACAAUGGGGGAAACCCUGAUGCAGCGACGCCGCGUGAGUGAAGAUGUAAUUCGUUAUGUAAAGCUCUAUCGGCAGGGAAGAAAAUGACGUUACCUGAGUAAGAAGCCACGGCUAACUACGUGCCAGCAGCCGCGGUAAUACGUAGGGGGCACGCGUUAAUCGGAAUUACUGGGCGUAAAGCGCUCGUAGGCGGUAUGGCAAGUCCAGGGUGAAAUGCCCGCGCUCAACGUGGGAACUGCAUUUGAAACUGGCAAACUGGAGUGUGUGAGAGGAUAGUGGAAUUCCAGGUGUAGGAGUGAAAUCCGUAGAUAUCUGGAGGAACAUCAGUGGCGAAGGCGACUAUCUGGCACAUAACUGACGCUGAGGAGCGAAAGCGUGGGUAGCAAACAGGAUUAGAUACCCGUGUAGUC
rnacentral:rRNA from 1 species